UUCUUUUUAACAAAAUGAUUAUCUUUCAGAAAAUCCAAAAAUUAUAUCAUUUUCAUCAUUGGUUCAAAAAUUGGCCUUGGUGCUAAAAAUUGAUCAUAAAAUAACAUCGUUUUUACUCCCCAAAAAUAGGUAACCUGUGAAUUCCUGUUUUGCCGAAGUUCUCGUCCUUGGAGUUAAAAUAGUCAGCAACUGCCUUAAACACUUUCAAAAGACUUAAAUUUUUUCCUGUUAGAUACUUUUGCAGAGAUCUGAACAGGUAAUAAUCAGAUGGUGCAAUGUCAGGUGAAUACGGUGGGUGACUGAGGAUUUCCCAUCCUUAGCUUCCUUCAAUUUUUGUAGUGUCACCAUUGCAGUAUGCGGGCGAACGCUAGUCGUGGUGGAACAGUAUUCCUUUUUUGGACGCUAAUGCUGGCCUUUUUUCUUUGAUAGCUGCAUUAAAUUUAUCCAGCUGAUUGCAGUUCUUUUCGUUGGUGGAUACUUGGUUUUGGAACUGUUGCUGAUGAUGUUCCUGGUUAGCAGUAAGAUUUUUUUUUCUUAAUAUUCUCGUAAAGAAUCCACUUUUCAUCUCCAGCAACCAGUCUGUCCAAAAACGGCUCCACAUUGUGUCUAAUCAGAUGUUAUGAACACAUUCUUACACGAUCAGACAAAUUCUUUUCUGUUAAUUCAUGUGGAACCCAAACACUUUGCUUUAACUCAAACCCAAGAGAUUUAAUGUGAUCUCCAACAGUUGUAUGAAGAAUGCCAAACUCUUCUGCAAUUUCUCGACUUGUUAAAUGUGGAUUAUUUUCCAACAUGGGUCGCAAAACAUCAUUAUCGAUUUUGGAUGGUCGUCCAGAUCGAUCACUUUCUUUGAGGCUCAGAUCCCCGGAACGAAAUUUGCUAAACCAUCUUUGACAAGUACGAAUAUUUACAGCAUCUUUUCCAAAUACUGCUUAUAAAUUUUUACAUGCAACCGAUGUGUUGCUUCCUUUUUGGAAUUCAUAUAAAAUGCAGUGUCGUAAAUGCACUUUAUCUACUGACAUGUUUUUCACUUUAAAUAUCACAAGUAAAUGAUGAACGGUAAAAAAGGGCACCUUUUAUAUUAUACAGUGCUUUAUACCUGCAAUUUUUAAAUUUCAAGGUUCAAUUAUUGCUCUUUUCAGGGUGCGUACAGACUCCUUAUAUUCCUUAGAAACUCCUUAGAUUAUUGCGUUGCGUAAACAAACUUACUAAGUCUGCUGAUGAAUUUGUUGUCCAAGCAGGGAAACUAAAUGAUAUGACUUAGCUGUCAAAAUCUAAUAGUUUUAGAAAAACUU